rnacentral:rRNA from 1 species
GACGUAGGGCGCGAGCGUUGUCCGGAUUUAUUGGGCGUAAAGAGCUCGUAGGCGGCUUGUCGCGUCGACCGUGAAAACUCGCAGCUCAACUGCGAGCCUGCGGUCGAUACGGGCAGGCUAGAGUUCGGUAGGGGAGACUGGAAUUCCUGGUGUAGCGGUGAAAUGCGCAGAUAUCAGGAGGAACACCGGUGGCGAAGGCGGGUCUCUGGGCCGAUACUGACGCUGAGGAGCGAAAGCCAGGGGAGCAAACGGG